rnacentral:rRNA from 1 species
GAUGAACGCUGGCGGCGUGCCUAAUACAUGCAAGUCGAACGAAGCUGUUUUAACUGGUGCUUGCACCGACUUAAACAACUGAGUGGCGAACGGGUGAGUAACACGUGGGUAACCUGCCCCAAAGCGGGGGAUAACAUUUGGAAACAGAUGCUAAUACCGCAUAAUCACAGAAACCACAUGGUUUCUGUGUCAAAGAUGGUUUCGGCUAUCACUUUGGGAUGGACCCGCGGCGUAUUAGCUAGUUGGUAAGGUAAUGGCUUACCAAGGCAAUGAUACGUAGCCGAACUGAGCGGUUGACCGGCCACAUUGGGACUGAGACACGGCCCAAACUCCUACGGGAGGCAGCAGUAGGGAAUCUUCCACAAUGGACGAAAGUCUGAUGGAGCAACGCCGCGUGAGUGAAGAAGGUUUUCGGAUCGUAAAACUCUGUUGUCAGAGAAGAACGUGUGCGAGAGUAACUGUUCGUGCAGUGACGGUAUCUGGCCAGAAAGCCACGGCUAACUACGUGCCAGCCGCCGCUGUAA